AUUGAACGCUAGCGGGAUGCUUUACACAUGCAAGUCGAACGGCAGCACGAGAGAGCUUGCUCUCUUGGUGGCGAGUGGCGGACGGGUGAGUAAUGCAUCGGAAUGUGCCCAGUAGCGGGGGAUAACUACUCGAAAGAGUAGCUAAUACCGCAUAUUCCCUACGGGGAAGAGGGGACCUUCGGGCCUCUCACUACUGGAGCAGCCGAUGUUAGAUUAGCUAGUUGGUGGGGUAAAAGACCUACCAAGGCCACGAUCUAUAGCUGGUUUGAGAGGACGACCAGCCACACUGGGACUGAGACACGGCCCAG
rnacentral:rRNA from 1 species